rnacentral:rRNA from 1 species
CAACUUGAGAGUUUGAUCCUGGCUCAGAGCGAACGCUGGCGGCAGGCUUAACACAUGCAAGUCGAGCGGGCGUAGCAAUACGUCAGCGGCAGACGGGUGAGUAACGCGUGGGAACGUACCUUUUGGUUCGGAACAACUGAGGGAAACUUCAGCUAAUACCGGAUAAGCCCUUACGGGGAAAGAUUUAUCGCCGAAAGAUCGGCCCGCGUCUGAUUAGCUAGUUGGUGAGGUAAUGGCUCACCAAGGCGACGAUCAGUAGCUGGUCUGAGAGGAUGAUCAGCCACAUUGGGACUGAGACACGGCCCAAACUCCUACGGGAGGCA